CUGAAGAUGAACACUUCUCCAGUUUUAGUGACUGUGUUGCUGCUCGUGCUUGGAAGGAUCCAUGGAGAGUCAGUGACCCAGAAACAAAGUCAAGUGACCCUCUCAGAAGACAGUGUUCUAUUUAUAAACUGCACAUAUUCAGCCACAGGGUACCCAACUCUUUUCUGGUAUGUCCAAUAUCCUGGAGAAGGUCCACAGCUCCUCCUGAAAGUCAUCACAGCUGGCGAGAAGGGAAGCAGCAGAGGGUUUGAAGCCACAUAUGAUAAAGGAACCACCUCCUUCCACUUGCAGAAAUCCUUGGUGCAAGAGUCAGACUUCGCUGUGUACUACUGUGCUCUGAGGGACACAGUGGCAGACACUGCAGGGGGAGCUGAGCACAAACCCUGA